GAGCCAGCUUAGCCUAGCGGUUUCUUCGCAAUCCUAGUAAUUGUUAUCCAGCUGCUACUUGCUAGCAGUUCAAGUCCCGUGGGCGCUGCCUGGCUUUUUG
ensembl:vault_RNA Vault Vault RNA